GUGGACCGUAGUGAGACGCCCAAUAGCGAAAGCAUUUGCCAAGAAUGUCUUCAUUAAUCAAGAACGAAAGUCAGAGGUUCGAAGGCGAUUAGAUACCGCCCUAGUUCUGACCGUAAACGAUGCCAUCUCGCGAUUCGGAGGGUUCAUGCCCUACCGAGGAGCUACCCGGAAACGAAAGUCUUUCGGUUCCGGGGGUAGUAUGGUUGCAAAGCUGAAACUUAAAGAAAUUGACGGAAGGGCACCACAAGGCGUGGAGCUUGCGGCUUAAUUUGACUCAACACGGGAAAACUCACCCGGUCCGGACACUAUUAGGACUGACAGAUUGAAAGCUCUUUCUCGAUUUGGUGGUUGGUGGUGCAUGGCCGUUCUUAGUUGGUGGAGUGAUUUGUCUGGUUUAUUCCGAUAACGAGCGAGACUCUAGCCUGCUAAAUAGUCGACGAAUCUUCGGGUUCGUAUAACUUCUUAGAGGGAUAAGCGGUGUUUAGCCGCACGAGAUUGAGCGAUAACAGGUCUGUGAUGCCCUUAGAUGUCCGGGGCUGCACGCGUGCUACACUGGUGGAGUCAGCGGGUUUUUCCUAUGCCGAAAGGUAUCGGUAAACCGUUGAACUUCUUCCAUGUCCGGGAUAGGGUAUUGUAAUUAUUACCCUUAAACGAGGAAUGCCUAGUAAGUGUGAGUCAUCAGCUCACGUUGAUUACGUCCCUGCCCUUUGUACACACCGCCCGUCGCUAUCCGGGACUGAACUGAUUCGAGAAGAGUGAGGGACUGUGGCUGCGAGGUUUUACCACUUCGCAGUUGCGGAAACCAUUUUUAUCGCAUUGGUUUGAACCGGGUAAAAGUCGUAACAAGGUAGCUGUAGGUGAACCUGCAGCUGGAUCAUCG
rnacentral:ncRNA from 1 species